rnacentral:rRNA from 1 species
UACGUAGGGGUCGAGCGUUGUCCGGAGUUACUGGGCGUAAAGCGUGCGCAGGCGGCUCGUCGCGCUCGGCGUGAAAGCCCCCGGCUCAACCGGGGAGGGUCGUCGAGGACGGAUGGGCUUGAGGGUAUCAGGGGUUGGUGGAAUUCCCGGUGUAGUGGUGAAAUUCGUAGAUAUUAGGAAGAACACCAGUGGCGAAGGCGGCUCACUGGCCCGGUACUGACGCUGAGGCGCGAAAGCGUGGGGAGCAAACAGG